UACAGGGGGUGCGAGCGUUGUCCGGAAUCACUGGGCGUAAAGGGCGCGUAGGUGGCGACCCAAGUCCGUGGUGAAAGCUCGUCGCUUAACGACGAGUCGGCCACGGAGACUGGGUGGCUCGAGCACUGUAGGGGCAGAUGGAAUUCCGGGUGUAGCGGUGGAAUGCGUAGAGAUCCGGAAGAACACCAGUGGCGAAGGCGGUCUGCUGGGCAGUUGCUGACACUGAGGCGCGACAGCGUGGGGAGCAAACAGG
rnacentral:rRNA from 1 species